rnacentral:rRNA from 1 species
AUACGUAGGUCCCGAGCGUUGCGCGGAGUCACUGGGCGUAAAGCGUCCGCAGCCGGCCCCGUAAGCGGGAUGCCAAAGCCCGCCGCUCAACGGCGGAACGGCAUCCCGAACUGCGGGGCUUGAGGCGCGCCCGGGCAGGCGGAAUUCCCGGGGUAGCGGUGAAAUGCGUAGAUCUCGGGAGGAACACCGAAGGGGAAGCCAGCCUGCUGGGGCCGUCCUGACGGUCAGGGACGAAAGCCGGGGGAGCAAACCGGAUUAGAAACCCUGGUAGUCC